rnacentral:tRNA from 1 species
GCUUUUUUGGUGUAGUGGUCAGCACACUGGGCACGCAUUCGAGAGGUUCGAGGUUCGAUUCCCGGAGAGGGCA